CCUACGGGAGGCAGCAGUAAGGAAUCUUCCACAAUGGACGAAAGUCUGAUGGAGCAACGCCGCGUGCAGGAUGAAGGCUUUCGGGUCGUAAACUGCUUUUAUAUGGGAAGAUUAUGACGGUACCAUAUGAAUAAGGACCGGCUAACUACGUGCCAGCAGCCGCGGUAAUACGUAGGGUCCAAGCGAUAUCCGGAAUUACUGGGCGUAAAGCGUGUGUAGGUGGAUUAAUAAGUGUGAUGCGAAAUCCGGCGGCUCAACCGUUUGGACUGUGUCGCAUACUGUUAGUCUAGAGGACGGCAGAGGUAAGUGGAAUUACGGGUGUAGCAGUGAAAUGCGUAGAUAUCCGUAGGAACACCAAUGGCGAAGGCAGCUUACUGGGCCACACCUGACACUGAGACACGAAAGCGUGGGGAGCGAACAGGAUUAGAUACCCUGGUAGUCCACGCCGUAAACGAUGCAUACUAUUAGUAUGGGGUAUCGACCCCCUGUGCUGAGAAGCUAACGCGAUAAGUAUGCCGCCUGGGGAGUACGAGCGCAAGCUUAAAACUCAAAUGAAUUGACGGCUGAGAGUGCCGACGACGACGACGAGGGAGGAGG
rnacentral:rRNA from 1 species